rnacentral:rRNA from 1 species
AUUGAACGCUGGCGGCAUGCCUUACACAUGCAAGUCGAACGGUAACAGGUCUUCGGAUGCUGACGAGUGGCGAACGGGUGAGUAAUACAUCGGAACGUGCCUAGUAGUGGGGGAUAACUACUCGAAAGAGUGGCUAAUACCGCAUGAGAUCUACGGAUGAAAGCAGGGGAUCGCAAGACCUUGUGCUACUAGAGCGGCCGAUGGCAGAUUAGGUAGUGGGUGGGAUAAAAGCUGACCAAGCCGACGAUCUGUAGCUGGUCGGAGAGGACGAUCAGCCACACUGGGACUGAGACACGGCCCAGACUCCUACGGGAGGCAGCAGUGGGGAAUUUUGGACAAUGGGCGCAAGCCUGAUCCAGCAAUGCCGCGUGCAGGAUGAAGGCCUUCGGGUUGUAAACUGCUUUUGUACGGAACGAAAAGCCCUGGGUUAAUACCCUGGGGUCAUGACGGUACCGUAAGAAUAAGCACCGGCUAACUACGUGCCAGCCGCCGCGGUAA